GACGAACGCUGGCGGCGUGCUUAACACAUGCAAGUCGAACGGAGAGGCCCUGCUUUUGUGGGGUGCUCGAGUGGCGAACGGGUGAGUAACACGUGAGUAACCUGCCCUUGACUUUGGGAUAACUUCAGGAAACUGGGGCUAAUACCGGAUAGGAGCUCCUGCUGCAUGGUGAGGGUUGGAAAGUUUCGGCGGUUGGGGAUGGACUCGCGGCUUAUCAGCUUGUUGGUGGGGUAGUGGCUUACCAAGGCUUUGACGGGUAGCCGGCCUGAGAGGGUGACCGGCCACAUUGGGACUGAGAUACGGCCCAGACUCCUACGGGAGGCAGCAGUGGGGAAUAUUGCACAAUGGGCGGAAGCCUGAUGCAGCAACGCCGCGUGCGGGAUGACGGCCUUCGGGUUGUAAACCGCUUUCGCCUGUGACGAAGCGUGAGUGACGGUAAUGGGUAAAGAAGCACCGGCUAACUACGUG
rnacentral:rRNA from 1 species